AUUGAACGCUGGCGGCAUGCUUUACACAUGCAAGUCGAACGGCAGCAUGGGCUUCGGCCUGAUGGCGAGUGGCGAACGGGUGAGUAAUACAUCGGAACGUGCCCAGUAGUGGGGGAUAGCCCGGCGAAAGCCGGAUUAAUACCGCAUACGACCUAUGGGUGAAAGCGGGGGAUCGCAAGACCUCGCGCUAUUGGAGCGGCCGAUGUCGAGUUAGCUAGUUGGUGGGGUAAAGGCCUACCAAGGCGACGAUCUGUAGCUGGUCUGAGAGGACGACCAGCCACACUGGGACUGGGACACGGCCCAGACUCCUACGGGAGGCAGCAGUGGGGAAUUUUGGACAAUGGGCGCAAGCCUGAUCCAGCCAUGCCGCGUGCGGGAAGAAGGCCUUCGGGUUGUAAACCGCUUUUGUCAGGGAAGAAACGCUCCGAGUUAAUACCUCGGAGUAAUGACGGUACCUGAAGAAUAAGCACCGGCUAACUACGUGCCAGCCGCCGCAGUAA
rnacentral:rRNA from 1 species